rnacentral:rRNA from 1 species
GAUGAACGCUGGCGGCGUGCCUAAUACAUGCAAGUCGAGCGAACGGACGAGAAGCUUGCUUCUCUGAUGUUAGCGGCGGACGGGUGAGUAACACGUGGAUAACCUACCUAUAAGACUGGGAUAACUUCGGGAAACCGGAGCUAAUACCGGAUAAUAUUUUGAACCGCAUGGUUCAAAAGUGAAAGACGGUCUUGCUGUCACUUAUAGAUGGAUCCGCGCUGCAUUAGCUAGUUGGUAAGGUAACGGCUUACCAAGGCAACGAUGCAUAGCCGACCUGAGAGCGUGAUCGGCCACACUGGAACUGAGACACGGUCCAGACUCCUACGGGAGGCAGCAGUAGGGAAUCUUCCGCAAUGGGCGAAAGCCGGACGGAGCAACGCCGCGUGAGUGAUGAAGGUCUUCGGAUCGUAAAACUCUGUUAUUAGGGAAGAACAUAUGUGUAAGUAACUGUGCACAUCUUGACGGUACCUAAUCAGAAAGCCACGGCUAACUACGUG